rnacentral:rRNA from 1 species
GACGAACGCUGGCGGCGUGCUUAACACAUGCAAGUCGAACGAAGAGCGAUGGAAGCUUGCUUCUAUCAAUCUUAGUGGCGAACGGGUGAGUAACGCGUAAUCAACCUGCCCUUCAGAGGGGGACAACAGUUGGAAACGACUGCUAAUACCGCAUACGAUCUAAUCUUGGCAUCGAGGAUAGAUGAAAGGUGGCCUCUACAUGUAAGCUAUCACUGAAGGAGGGGAUUGCGUCUGAUUAGCUAGUUGGAGGGGUAACGGCCCACCAAGGCGAUGAUCAGUAGCCGGUCUGAGAGGAUGAACGGCCACAUUGGGACUGAGACACGGCCCAGACUCCUACGGGAGGCAGCAGUGGGGAAUCUUCCGCAAUGGACGAAAGUCUGACGGAGCAACGCCGCGUGAGUGAUGACGGCCUUCGGGUUGUAAAGCUCUGUUAAUCGGGACGAAAGGCCUUCUUGCGAAUAGG